CCAUUCACAAGUAGAUGCAAAGCUGUCAUUGAGACUUUGAUCUAAUAGUUAUUGAGCCUAAGCCCAUCCUUAUCUGAAAGCAACUCUUUGCUAAUAGAGUGGUUGUAUAUUUUUGGUGUAAUUGAAUCACUAUAACCAGUCAAGAACAAUCAACUCUAGUAUCACACCCGCAUACCUACAAUGGUGGAAGACCUAUGGACUUAAUAUUUAUAGAAAAAUUUAGAUUUAUAUCUCAUCUAAUUAAUCAUCAUAUGAUCGAUCUAAUUGGUAUGGACUAAAUCAAGCCAUCAAGCAACCAUAUUCAAGAC
rnacentral:lncRNA from 1 species